UACGUAGGCAGCAAGCGUUGUUCGGAGUUACUGGGCGUAAAGGGUGUGUAGGCGGUUGUUUAAGUUUGGUGUGAAAUCUCCCGGCUCAACUGGGAGGGUGCGCCGAAUACUGAAUGACUAGAGUGCGGGAGAGGAAAGUGGAAUUCCUGGUGUAGCGGUGAAAUGCGUAGAUAUCAGGAGGAACACCGGUGGUGUAAACGGCUUUCUGGACCAUAACUGACGCUGAGGCACGAAAGCGUGGGUAGCAAACAGG
rnacentral:rRNA from 1 species